GGCCAUGCUGGGAUUCUGGGGAAGGCAAGGCAAGUGGGAGCCAUGGCUCUGCAGCUGAACAGACAUGUUGCAGUGAGACGGGCUCCCACAUCCUCCCCUUCUAGAAAUGU
ensembl:miRNA gga-mir-6600 gga-mir-6600